GGAGGGUUGUCCGAGCUGGCCGAAGGAGCACGACUGGAAAUCGUGUAUACCAGAGAUGGUAUCGAGAGUUCAAAUCUCUUGCCCUCCGCCA
rnacentral:tRNA from 2 species